rnacentral:rRNA from 1 species
ACUCCUACGGGAGGCAGCAGUGGGGAAUAUUGGACAAUGGGCGCAAGCCUGAUCCAGCCAUGCCGCGUGAGUGAUGAAGGCCCUAGGGUUGUAAAGCUCUUUCACCGGUGAAGAUAAUGACGGUAACCGGAGAAGAAGCCCCGGCUAACUUCGUGCCAGCAGCCGCGGUAAUACGAAGGGGGCUAGCGUUGUUCGGAUUUACUGGGCGUAAAGCGCACGUAGGCGGACUAUUAAGUCAGGGGUGAAAUCCCGGGGCUCAACCCCGGAACUGCCUUUGAUACUGGUAGUCUUGAGUUCGAGAGAGGUGAGUGGAAUUCCGAGUGUAGAGGUGAAAUUCGUAGAUAUUCGGAGGAACACCAGUGGCGAAGGCGGCGCACUGGCUCGAUACUGACGCUGAGGUGCGAAAGCGUGGGGAGCAAACAGGAUUAGAAACCCGGGUAGUCCCAUGAU